GAAGUGCGAUAAGUGUCAUGACUUGCAGAUCCCCGAGAGCUGACAAAUCUCUGAAUGCAAAUGGCGGCCAACUUCCGUUGGUCAUGUAUUGCAGAGUGUAGUUGUUCAUACUCAUCAUCCUCCCUCACACAACUGUGUGCAGUGGAGGGAUCUGCGCUUGUGUUCUCCGGACGCGAGCGUGAAAAGUCAGAGUGGAACAUCCGUCAAACGGUGUUCCAACUUCGGAGUACUCGUAUACUAGAAGUUCUUUCAUUAGACUCUGUAUUUUCGUAUUCACCUCUGCAAUGCAGGAAAACCCGCUGAACUUAA
rnacentral:misc_RNA from 1 species